UCUCAUCGUCGUAGAAGAAGCCCGA
rnacentral:piRNA from 1 species